rnacentral:misc_RNA from 1 species
AAUUAUCAACUGUGCCAAUUUGGUUACAGAUUGGAUGUGGGAGAUUUUUUGCAGGCUUUUGAUUUCUCUUUGAGAAAAACAAGGUCUGCUCUCCUGAAAUGUAUUAGCAGUGCCUUUGUUGGUUCAUUAGGUGUGAUAAUUUAUCUACAUCUUCAUAUGGUACCUUCAUUUGUAAAGGUCGUACUGCUUUCAAUUGUCUUUGGACAAAGAAAACAUAUAAUGUAUGACAA